AUCAAGUGUAGGCCUUUUGGCUAAAAUAAAGUGUAGUAUCUAUUCUUACCUGUUUAAUAUCUGGUGCAUCCUCUAUCCAAGACUAAGAAAAAUAGCCCUGCUAUUACAAAGUGAUCCACU
rnacentral:snRNA from 1 species